CCGCCAAGACCAAGAUGGCUCAGAGAGUCGCAGCCUUCCUCAAGAAUGUCUGGGCCAAAGAACCGGUGCUCGUGGUAUCCUUCGCCAUUGUGGGCCUCGCUGUAAUCCUGCCCACACUCAGCCCCUACACCAAGUACUCGCUCAUGAUCAACCAGGCCACACCCUACAACUACCCAGUGCCCCUCCGAGACGACGGGAACAUGCCCGACGUGCCCAGCCACCCCCAAGACCCCCAGGGCCCGAGCCUGGAGUGGCUGAAGAGACUGUGAGCGCCUCCGUUGACAGGGAGCAGCCCCCGCCCCAAUGGCCCCAAUGGCCCCAAUAAAUGUGUGAAAACC